rnacentral:lncRNA from 1 species
UCAAAAACAAGUAUCUCAUAUUUGUAUGGUCAUUCGUGAAUAUCUAAGAUACUUUUUUAAGAAGCAACAAGAAAAAUUCAUCACGAGGGAGUAUAGUGAACCCUGCCCAAGCAAAAUAUAAGGCAACGACAAAUGAAAAAGAAAAAACCAAUUUCAUGAAAUUAACUAAAAGUAGAAAAAGUACAUGGUAAUCAUUAGUUCUCCUUACAAAUUCACAGGUUCUUUACAUGCUACUGUGUAGAAUAUUUUGACAUACACUUUAAUCCCUUGUACAUAAACGAACCUGCAAACUUACGGCCCUUUUCCUACUAUUUUUCUACAGACCUACCCAACCAAACCCUGCCCCGCCCCUGAAGGAAAAGAAAAGAAAGACAAAGGAAGGAAACUCAGCUCUUGGCCCUUAUGGUCCUCUCUCAAAAACCAAGAGAUGCGACUGAGAAAGCAACCCUUACCUAAUCUUUCAUUUUACCAACCAUACAAAUAGAAAAAAGAGACAAAAUAAAAGUAAACUAGUAAUCUACGAGGCUGCAAAUACCAUAUCCAUUACAAAGUAGUAGAAUUUGCUCACUAGCCUUCCCCUCAAAGCCUACUCGAGGAAUGGCUUCAGCUAAUGUGGGACAGACAAAUCAUCAUCUCCAACAGUCUCUGAGCUUGUUCCAACUAUCUGACUCUGACAUUCAUCCUUCUCAAUCAAUAAGCCAUCUGUACUUUCAUGUGUUGCUACAUGGGUUUUUGAUUCAUCAUUUCUAUCAAUCAUUUCAUUCUCACCACUUUCUUUUGUAUCCACGGCAUCAUUUUCUUUGGCAAAAACCUCGUCUGGCAAACACAGUUGUGUUGCUAAUUCACCCUUCUGCUCAUUGUUCUCUUCCUUCACUUCAUUGUUAAACACAAAGCCACCCCCCAUUUCAUUACCUUUGAUCUCAUCCUGAUUCACAACCACCACAUUCGGAACAGACUCUUCCAUAAAAGCAUCAUCUUCAGCUUCGGAUACUCCAUCAUUGUCUAACUUAGCAGUAGCACUGGCAUCAAUGUCUCCAUUUCUCUCACUUUCCAGCAUGGAAUCAACUAUCUCAACAUUAUUCUCAAUUCCCAUAACAGGUAAAUCUGAUCCCCCAUCGCUUUCAUUAUCAGACCCAUUCUCCACCACUUCCUCAUUGACGUCUUCCACAACCUGGUUCUGCCUCUCAAGAAACAGUAACCUCCUCCGUAGAUCACCCAACUCCCUCUCCAUUAGGAAAAGGCGCUCCCUCAAUGUCAAAUUCUCUUCCUCCAAUUGUGCUAUAUGGGAAUCCUGAUCAUCUACCCUAUUCUCCAACACAUUGUUAUACUCACCACCUCCAUAAUUCGGAUAUAUCAUCUCAAACCGGCUCAAAUCAUGGUCGAGCCUCCUUUCUACCUCCACAUGUUCCUCUACAUCACUCUCACUAGACCCACCACCACCAUCCUCUUCAUCUUCAUCAUCAUGAACAUCUCGAAGCCUAAUCAAACCCUUCAUUGACCCAUAUCCAUCAACACCCCACUCUUCCUUCGCCAUAUCCCCCAACAUCUCCCUCGAAGGAGACAAUAUAGGGGUAGGAAGCACAGCCGGGGUAACAGGACAAGGCGACACAAGCGAUGCAAUACCACCGGACUUCUUAGCACGAAUAAUAAAGGAAGUCGUAUUCCUGGGCGCAUAAGGCGCAAAUCUAGGAUUAAACUUCUUCUUAGGAUAAAACUUACGUGCUUUCAAACGAUUCUGAGAUUGCAACUCAUGAAGAGUUGGUGGUUGGUAACCGACACUGCUGUUCGGAAUACCGAUGGAAAUGCUUUGGUUAGGUUUUUCCAUUCUCCUAAUAUCUUUGCGCUUAUCACUAACCUUCUUUCCCUUCCAGUUAUUAUUACUUCGUCCAGGUUUCGAAGGAGGGAAAUUAGGUUUCAUAUUAGGGUUCUGAAACUUCAUGUUAGGGUCCAGAGGAAGCUGUUGAGACCAAACCUUAUUAUAACCACGAUUCAUCAUCUGAGGCUGAUUCUGAUUCAUCAUAAUCUGAGAUGUCUUCAUCUGCGGUUGAGGUUGUUGAUUCAUUCCUUGAUUGUGUGUGUGAGAAAGUAACUGAGUCUGAGACUGGUUAAUUACCUGAGGCUGAUUCAUCAUCGGAACUUGAUUCAUCAUCUGAGGCUGGUUCAUCUGGUUCAAAUUCAUCAUCAUCUUCGAUUGAUCGUUCAUCGUAACCAAACCCUAAGUGCGUCUAACGAAUUCUUGCAAUUUCGAUUAAUAGUUAAGAGCGAAAAUAUUAUCACCGAUCAGAAAAUUCUUGAUCGGCGGCGAAUUGGAGAUCGAUUCGAAACCCUAAAUCUCUUUUUCUCUAAUUUAGAACUGUGAGAUAUUGGGAUUAAAUUUUCAAGAAAUUAACCUAUCUAAGGGUGAAACCGUUUUCGCAUAUGUAGAUUUCACAAACCUAUAGAUUGAGAAAACCCUGGUUUUGAUUAUUAAAUUUUUUUUCUGAUUUACUAUUCUCGAAAAAUGUGGUUAUCGUUGUUUCUUGAAGUGAUCGUGCGAACAGAAGGGGGUUAUAUAAUGGGUUGGGAAUAAAGUGGGCGGCUAGAUUUUGAUCCGACAAACGGACGGUUUGGAUUUCAUAUGCGUGAUGAACACGCGUCAAUAGCGCCUAAAAGAUCGAUUCUUGAUUUCUCCUUUAUUUUAUUUUUAAUUUUUAAUUUAAUAGUAAUAUUUUUCUUUAAUUAAUUUAAUAAUAUUAAUUUUUUAUUUGAGUGUACGUGUAACGUCAUUGAUAACAUAAGUUACUACAUAUGAUUUAAUUGAUAUGGAAUAAUAAAAUUAUAAACAAAAUAGUUUAAACGGGAACAGAAAGUAUAGAUAUUUUAUAAUAAAAAAUCAAUUACUUAAAUGAAUAAAGAAAGAUAAAUUGUAAAAUUAAAAGGAAAAAUUCACACCAAAUUUUCAUAUUUAAUUUAUACAUAGUAUAAAAGUAUAGAGUUUUACAUAGUGACAUGGAUUAAUGAUAUAAGGAGCUCAGUUUGAUUUUAAUUUCUUUUUUAUAUCAAAAACAAUUUAAUAGGUAUUGAGGAUGACAUAAUGGGUUCAAAUGUGAUAAACUCAAAUUUAAAUUUUUGUUAAAAAAUAUAUUUAUAUUUAAUGCGUCUUGAAUUAUUAUCUCUAAUAUAAAAUACCUCUAAGAAAUCAUAAAAAGAAUAAAGAACUCUUCAUGUUCAAUUAAAAUAAAAAAACUUAAUUGUUAUAGUUUGUCUUCAAUGAUAUAAAUAUUUUAGGUUCAUUAUGUGUUUUCAUAUCCUGUCGGAUGUAGAGCUUCUUUGAAACGGGUCAUGACCACCACAAACUUUCCAAAAAUUCUCAAUAAUUCUUUUAAGACAUGAUUGUUCAUGAGGUCAUUUAAAUUAAUUUUGGAGUCAUUUAUCUUCUUUUUUUCGAUUUGGUCUUUUAUUUAAUUUUAUUACAAAAAUUUAAAAAUAUAAAUAAUAAAAAUAUGAGUUUAUUUAAAGAUUUUAAUUAUAAAUAUGAUAAAAUUUACAUUCUAAUGAAGAUGAUAAUUAAUUUUAUUUAAAGAUUUACAUUCUAAUAAAAAUAUGAUAAAAUUCUAAUGAAGAUGAUAAAAUUCUAAUGAAGAUGAUAAAGAUUUACAUUCUAAUGAAGAUGAUAAAAAUAUGAUAAAAUUUACAUUCUAAUAAAAAUAUGAGUUUAUUUAAAGAUUUUAAUUAUUAAAUAUUUUAGUUUUUUUCUUUUAAUAUUUUACUGACAUGAAAAGUUUAUCGAGAUAGUUUUGAUGUUCAAGUUCUUAAAAUAAUCUUGCAACUCAUAUACCUAUUAGGAUUGGGGUUCCAUUUCAUUAAAUUACUUGAAAAUAUAAGGAAACGUUUGAUUUAGUCUUUCAAUUAUACAAAUGUGGCCAUAUAUAUGCAUUCCCCCAUAACAGAUCAAAAUAUAAUAAUCGAAAAAAUGAUAUCUUGUCAAAUUUCUCUUAUUGGAGAUUUUAAUUAAUUGAAUUAUCCAUUUCAACACUAUCACUAUUACACAUUUCCUAUUUAAAUAAUUUUAAAAGUGGUUUAAUUAUAUUCCAUUUGAUUAUUUAAAAUGAUAUCUCAUCGCAUAUCUUAUUUAUCUAUUUUAAUUUACAAGGAUUAUAUAUGUUUUUAGUCCUAAAAUAACUAUGAUCUUUUAAGUUUAGUUAUUUACAAAAAUGUAUCCACUUUUAUUCCAUAUAUUAAUGAUUUUACAGAGACUUUUUUUAAGGACUAAAAGUAUUAACUUUUUUAAUUUUUUUUAAAUAGGAACUAAAAGUGAAUAAAAUAAUGUUUUUAAAGAGUAAAAAUUUAAAUUUUUUAUAAAAAAAUAAAAAAACAAAUAAAUAGUCGUUUUUUGGAAACAGCUACAAUAAAAGGAAGCGUUUAAAAUAAAAUAAAAAUGACUUUAUUUUUAGAAUAAAAUGUUUUUUUUUCUUCUUGUAGAGAGUGCUUAAUAAAAACAUCUAGCAACCAGGAUUUUGACCAAUGAUAGUAUGUCGUAUUCAAAAAAUUGAAAAUAAACAAUAGACGCUAAAGAAGGAGUCUGUCUCCAAUGCACAAUCCAUCUGUCAAUCAAUCCGUGCCACAUUCUCAAACAACGGGCUCUCAAAAGAAACGCCACAGAUAUGAAUGAAAGCAUGAAAUUUAAAAUACAUAAUUCAAAUUAACUGAUGUUUACUGUGUAACAUGUCGACACAGAAGUAAAGUAGGAGAAGCUUGAGCUUUGCAAGGAUCUCCCGGACGCAUGAUAUGAUGACGUGAAGUUAGAUUGAACUCAUAACAGAAUAAAAUCAAUGGAAGCCUAGAGAUCUCCUACAAACUGCAAUCUGCAGACGCAAUGAACGGAAGUGUGAGCCUACAGCAGCUAUUAUACAUUCCACGAUCAGUUCAUAAAUCGACUGGGGAACAUGUUAACCACAUAUUAUACAACAUUAUACAAUGGCGCAUUUUUCACCCUAACUUAUAGUAUUACCUAGAAGUGGCUCAGAUAGUAUCUGCAAAAACAGGAAACCAUGGUGGUGCAUAUAAGCUUAGAGUAGAUAAAACAGAGUAACCAAGUGUAACACACUUCAGAAAAAGGAUCACCCACUUGCGCAUGACCAAAGUUUUAGAUUCAAAAAAAUGAUCAAAAGAUCUUCCAUUCAAUCUAUUCAAAAGAUAAUUGACACAUGGCUUCUCUUCAAGUACACAACACUGUGAAAUGUAAAGCAUUUGGAAUCCGAUGAGAAUAAAAAAAUACUAUUUGAGGCAUUACCAUCAUAGUCACUUCCAUUUUCUCCUCUGAAGUAGUUUCCCGGCCUCCAUUUCCAUGCAAACGCUUGUAAUUUCAAACCCCUACAUCAUCCACCUUAACUCACGGUAUUGCCGCAUCUAAUUGUGAAAUUGAAUACCCCUUUGAAUGAUCUGGUAGAAACACUGCUUUAAAUCAAACUUGGGAGUUCAAAGCUACCAAACAUUAAGAGCAAUAGCCAUGUUUCACAUCAAAUUCAAUAUGCAAGCUCUCAUAUUUGUACCAUGGUUAUGCUAAGACUUUCACUGUUUUUCACUCACAAGAGCAAAACAUGGCAUAACCAGAUACCGCUUAAAAGUUCAUGUUAAAAGUAGCAUAACCUUUGCACAAUUCAAUCAUGUCCAUCAAAGAGAACAAACACAAUCUUUGCACAGUUCAAUCAUAUCCAUCAUAUAGAACUAGCACAAGCUUUGCACAAUCAAAUCGACAUAAAACAUGUACCUCAAAUUUGCAUGGUAAUCAUUAGUUCUCCUUACAAACUCACAGGUUCUUUACAUGCUACUGAGUAUAAUAUUUUAAAAUACACUUUAAUCCCUUGUACAUAAACGAAAAAACAUGGCAGAACCAGAUAUCAUUUAAAAAUUCAUGCUAAAAAAGGUGAGGUGUAAAUUUGUAAAUCUGAACUUCUUACAAAUACUACAUAUUUAAAUGACUAGAAAAAAGGUAUAAUUAAUCUACUAUGAAAGCUUUCCUCACUUGAAAGGACUUCGUGCAGCAGUCUGACAAAAUUCACCACGGGCUAGAAAAUACUUCUGCCAUCAUCAUACAGAAUUAGCUCAACCUUCGCACAAUUUAAUCACCCAAUCAAAUCAAAAUAAAACAAGUAUCUCAUAUUUUUAUGGUCAUUCAAAUCAAAAACAAGUAUCUCAUAUUUGUAUGGUCAUUCGUGAAUAUCUAAGAUACUUUUUUAAGAAGCAACAAGAAAAAUUCAUCACGAGGGAGUAUAGUGAACCCUGCCCAAGCAAAAUAUAAGGCAACGACAAAUGAAAAAGAAAAAACCAAUUUCAUGAAAUUAACUAAAAGUAGAAAAAGUACAUGGUAAUCAUUAGUUCUCCUUACAAAUUCACAGGUUCUUUACAUGCUACUGUGUAGAAUAUUUUGACAUACACUUUAAUCCCUUGUACAUAAACGAACCUGCAAACUUACGGCCCUUUUCCUACUAUUUUUC